GAUGAACGCUGGCGGCGUGCUUAACACAUCCAAGUCGAACGGAAAGGCCAGUGCUUGCACUGGUACUCGAGUGGCGAACGGGUGAGUAACACGUGGGUGAUCUGCCCUGUACUUCGGGAUAAGCUUGGGAAACUGGGUCUAAUACCGGAUAGGACAACUUUUUGGAUAUUGUUGUGGAAAGCUUUUGCGGUAUGGGAUGAGCUCGCGGCCUAUCAGCUUGUUGGUGGGGUAAUGGCCUACCAAGGCGUCGACGGGUAGCCGGCCUGAGAGGGUGUACGGCCACAUUGGGACUGAGAUACGGCCCAGACUCCUACGGGAGGCAGCAGUGGGGAAUAUUGCACAAUGGGCGCAAGCCUGAUGCAGCGACGCCGCGUGGGGGAUGAAGGCCUUCGGGUUGUAAACUCCUUUCGCUAGGGACGAAGCUUUUUUGUGACGGUACCUGGAGAAGAAGCACCGGCUAACUACGUG
rnacentral:rRNA from 1 species